AUUUUUUUUUUGUAUAUUACAAACAGCUCCCUGACGAAGAACCCUCUAGAACCAUGGCGAUUCGAUCUUGCUCCGGUGUCUUUGAAGCUCCAAUAGCUACUGCAACACAUGUAUUCUAGUGAACCUAUGUCCAACGUAGAGGGAGUUACAAGGUAAACGAGAUUGAUUGAUUUUCACUUGAGCGUCAAAAACUCUUAUUGGCGCCAUGAAUUCAGCUCAAUGAGGACUUCUUCUGCUCUAAACCACUAACAUCGACAAUCUAGUAUUGAGAAUGAGCUUCAAGGAGCUAAUACCACUGCCAAAAGGUCCAGAUCUAGAAGGUACAUCCUCUUCUUUAGUGUUUCUUGCUUCUGCUUUCCUUCACAUUAGGUUCUUACUUGAUGAUGCUGUCUAAUUUGCCCUUAUAUGUGGAUAUUUCCUUGUGCUUGAUGUUUGUUUUGACAUUUCUUUAUUAUGAGAUUUGGUGUAUUACAUUUUUCCAGCUGAAUGAUUUUCCUUGCAUUUGCUAGAAUCUCCUAAUAUGAAUUAAAUUAAAUCCUAUUUGUACUUGCAAAACUGAUAUAAAGUUAGUGAAAUAAUCUGUCAAUUAAUUUCCUUCUCUGAAUGUGUGCAUCACCACAAUGUUAUUUUCCAUUAUGCAAUUGAGUCUUUUAAAAUGCAAUGCAAUGGUCCAGGUCACCUCCUAUAUACCGUCAAGUAUUUUCUUUAAGAGUAAGGGAGUUUGUUUUCAUGAUCACUGGUAGUCUGUUAUGGUUUAUACCGUAUUCCAUUAUUCUAUUCCCAUCCUCAUAGCUACAACCUCAACUUUAAGCAUUGUUUCAACCACAAUUCUCCUUGUUUAAGCAAAUACAAAAUACCUCUCCUCAUUUCUAGUACAAAAUGCACUAGAACUAGGCCCAGAAUUUUCUUUGUUAGCUUCUUCAGAAUUACACUUGUAAAACCCCCAAUCUUGCAAGAUCCAUCUAAUUACUUGACAAGAAAUAAUCGGGUAUACUCCUUAAACCUCUUGACUAUCCAAGGCGAUUCAAUAGAAAUAUCUUGCAUUCAAGGAUAUCUACCCAUUGCCAUCAUAUGCAGAUUCCUCUGAAUUUUCAUAACCAUAACAUAUUUUGAUAUUUUGCUUCUAUUUUUUAUUCUAUGUCUCCUCUUCUGUGCUACCAGAAAUUAAAAGCUAAUACAACCUUAUAUAAAGGCUUCAAUUUUGUGACACAACCAAUAUCCACCACUUAAAAAUGGUAUCUUUAAUCUGCAAAAAUGGAUCAGUACUCCUACUGCUUCUGCAAAUAUGUUCCACAAAUAAUUAGCAUCAAAACAUGUAAUGAAUAAAUGUACAAAUAUUUCAUGUACAUUGUUGUUGUAGCAGCAACAAACAACUUUAUAUGUCACUUUGAUCUUGACAAACAUCCCACCAAUGGAAUUCUAUGCUUCCAAAGUUUCCAAAACAAAAAAGAGAUGUUGAAAGGAACUCCUUUCUCCCAAAUAUUCAACAUCAGCUCUCGAGGGUCAAUUUUUUGCCUAAUUACGUCCCUAACGCUUCCUACUGAGAACUUGCAUGUACUAUUAAGCAUCUACCAAGGUCUAUCCAAUUAUCUUUGUCAUGAAUUUCCCCAAUCUCCUGCUGAAUAUGAUUAUAAAUAUCCUCAUAAUAAUUCCAUCAUCAAAUUAGGAUUCUAUCCUUCAUUAGCCAUUAGCUGGCUCACAUCUUCAAAAUUCUUAUCACAAUUGUGAGUAACAGGAAGUUAAAAGUGAAGUCCCCCUAAUUGUGUCUAAUUAUCACUCUAGAUACUAGAGUGGACAGAACUAGAUUCCCACCAAAUCUCUUGAUCAAAGCAAUCUCUAGUCUGUAGCAUCAAUUUCCAUAUCUAUGAACUACCCCGCAGUCCAACCACCUGUGGCAUGGCUUCUUGUAAUAUUUAUUCCUUAUGAAAUUAUCCCACAAGGACUUUUUAGUCCUAAAAUUCUACUGCAGCUUUGAAAAUAAGGCUCUGGAAACAUCAAAUAGUGACUAAAUUCCAAUCCACCCUCAUUCUUAAGAAGACGUAUGUUUGACCAUGAUACCGGUGCUUGACCCUUCUUUCUUCUUUAAAAUUCCAUAGAAAUUUAGCAAAAAUUCUAUGUAUAUCAUCAAUUACACAUUUAGGAGGCAUGAUUGAAGAUAAUAAAUAAAUGGGGAUACUUUGUAAUACAUGAUUGAUCAAAACAGUUUUACCUCCAAAAGACAAUAAUUUACCUUUCCAUAUAUAAAGCUUAUUCAGUACCUUCUUCAAAAGUUUAACAAAUGUUGUUUUUUCUUCUUUACAUGACCAACAUGACACCCCAAAUACAUUAAUGGGAACUGCCUUUCUGGAAGUCUAUUAUAGUUUCUACCUCUUGGACAACAACAUUUGUAGCCUUAUUAAGCAUAACGAAAAAAUUCCUUUCUUUUUUAAUUUUCUAAUUGACUGCUUUUCGUAUUGGACCAACACCUCCAUAAUUAAUUCUAAAUAUUUCCUCUGUAUUCAUAAAAAAUAUGGCAUCAUUAGCAUAAGCUAAGUGAUUUAAAUUGUCACUCUAUUUGGGCAAUUCACAACUCUUAAAAUCUUUAUCAUUAAAAGCUGAUUAAGAGUUCUAGAUACAUAUAGAAGCACCUAAAAUAUCCUAUGCCAAACACUAAUCUUUCGACUAAGAAAGAGAUCAGAAGUGUACCUAUGAAACCAGUUGCUUACUUGCAUGGUGAGCCACGUAUAUUAUGGGAGGAAGAGAAAGUAGAACAGAUGAUUAUCAAUAAGGAUCUGAAAUAUGCAGUAAUAGGCAAGUUCUCCUACGAAUGGCCGAAAAUUCAAAAUCUUAGGAGAUUAAUACCAUAACAAUGUAAAUUAAAGGGAGAGGUCGAUAUUGGAUUACUUAGUAACAAACAUAUACUAAUAAGGGCAACAUUAUUGGAGGAUUGUGUACACUGGUUGUCUAAACCACAGUUCUAUGUCACGUAUAAUUAUUGGUCAUAUCCAAUAAGGACCCUCAAGUGGGAUUCUUUGUUUGAUUCGGAGGAGAAAAUGUCAAUUGCUAUAGUUUGGAUGUCAUUCCCAUCAUUGCCACCAAAUGUUUUUUGGUAAGGAAGCAGUCUUUUCAUUGGCAGCGACAGUAGGAAAAUCUCAACAGGUUGCUAUGGCUACUAAAAAUAAAACAAGAUUUAGUUGUGCGAGGGUCAAGAUGAAAAUUGAUCUUCUUGGUGAUUUUGCAAAAAGGAUUAACAUUAGAAUGUGAAAGAGGUUUGGAGAGAUUAAAGAGAAAUGGAUAACAAUCAAAUAUGACUACAUCCUAAAGUAUUGCAAGACUUGCAAGCUGCAAGGACAUAAUGAAAAAGAGUGUUUCAUCAUUCUCCCAAAAUUAUACCCAAAAGAAGAGGGUGAAGAGGAGAAAAUACCUAAUAAAGAAGAAGCGGGAGAAGAUAAAGGAAAAGUAAAGAUUGAUGAGGGCAAGAAAAAAGAGAAUGGUGAUAAAUGAAAGAGCACAGAAGAGGGAAAGAUGAAUUUAAAGAACAAAGAAGAAGAAGAAGUGGUUUUAAAAGGGGCAGGAAAUUCCACAAAGGCAGAUCAAAACAAAAGUGGCAUUCCAUAACACAUAACAUGAAGUAUGUCACAACAACAGAGGAUGAGCAGGAAGAGAAGAGGGCAGGAGAGGAGGAAAUAGAAAAAGAUAAUACAGAAGGAAUGAGGAAACUAGAUGAUGAUAGUCAUAUGGAAGAUACCGACUUUAUCACUCCAGGGAGUUCAAGAAGCAGAGAAAAACGAAAACGUGCAGAUGCACAUAGUGGAAUACGGGACAGUGAAAGGAGCAAAGACAGGUAUUUGAGGGGAAGAACUAUAAGAUGGAAAGUGAUAAA